GGCCCCGUAGCGCAGAGGCAGGCGCGCCGCCCCUCACGGCGGUCACGCGGGUUCGAAUCCUGCCGGCCA
rnacentral:tRNA from 1 species